CCAAUAGAAGAGAGCGCGAGAGAGAGAGCAAAUUUUGACAGUUAGAGAAAAGAGAACCUGCAAAUUUCUACUGGGACUUUUUUGCCAGCAGAAAUUUGCAACUUUGGACAAAUGUUUUUUAAAGGUCAGCUGUUUUAUGAAAAGCAGCAGUUACAUGAAAAUACAAAAGCUAACGACAAAAUGGAUCAAAAAGGCAGAGCUAGUGUGCAGCUACAGAAAACUCGACAAAUAAAGUUGUAAUUUCAAGUCGGGUAUUCUACAUUAGAAGAAAGUGAACGGCUCCAGAACGCUGUAUGCCAGGCAAAAACCACAUUGGAUGUGUCAACAGCAAACGCUCCACCAGACCCAAGUCACAG